CUGGCUCAGGAUGAACGCUAGCACGGGCCUAACACAUGCAAGUCAGGGGCAGCACAAGGAGCAAUCUGAGGUGGCGACCGGCGCACGGGUGAGUAACACGUAUGCAACCUGCCUGUAAGCGGGGAAUAACCCGUUGAAAGACGGACUAAUACCGCAUAAUACUAAAUUACUGCAUGGUAAUUUAUUUAAACAUUUAUGGCUUACAGAUGGGCAUGCGCAUGAUUAGCUAGUUGGAGAGGUAACGGCUCCCCAAGGCAACGAUCAUUAGGGGUUCUGAGAGGAAGGUCCCCCCACACUGGUACUGAGACACGGACCAGACUCCUACGGGAGGCAGCAGUGAGGAAUAUUGGUCAAUGGACGAGAGUCUGAACCAGCCAAGUCGCGUGCAGGAAGAAUGUCCCUAUGGAUUGUAAACUGCUUUUGCAGGGGAAUAAAGUGCAUCACGUGUGAUGUUUUGUAUGUACUCUGCGAAUAAGGAUCGGCUAACUCCGUGCCAGCCGCAGC
rnacentral:rRNA from 1 species